UACGUAGGUGGCGAGCGUUAUCCGGAUUUACUGGGUGUAAAGGGCGUGUAGGCGGGAUUGCAAGUCAGAUGUGAAAACUAUGGGCUCAACCCAUAGCCUGCAUUUGAAACUGUAGUUCUUGAGUGCUGGAGAGGCAAUCGGAAUUCCGUGUGUAGCGGUGAAAUGCGUAGAUAUACGGAGGAACACCAGUGGCGAAGGCGGAUUGCUGGACAGUAACUGACGCUGAGGCGCGAAAGCGUGGGGAGCAAACAGG
rnacentral:rRNA from 1 species